rnacentral:rRNA from 1 species
CACGUAGGGGACGAGCGUUGUCCGGAUUCAUUGGGCGUAAAGCGCGCGUAGGCGGUCGUGACAAGUCACUUGUGAAAUCUCCGGGCUUAACUCGGAACGGUCAAGUGAUACUGUCGGACUAGAGUACAGAAGGGGCAACUGGAAUUCUCGGUGUAGCGGUGAAAUGCGUAGAUAUCGAGAGGAACACCUGCGGCGAAGGCGGGUUGCUGGGCUGACAUCUGACGCUGAGGCGCGAAAGCUAGGGGAGCGAACGGG